UUGAGAUAGUCCCCGAUACUACAUGGGAGGUCUUGGUGUUGGUGUCACUCCUCCCGUUCUCCGUGCCGCACAGGCCAAACGAUACCCACCAACACCGCCGCUCAUCUCGCCAUAUUCUCCCCCACUCUCACGACUAGGCAAUGGUCGACUAUAGCGAUGCAUGACCCUGAAGGAGCAGGGAGUGUGGGAUCUAUGGGAGGCCGCCAAUAUCCUCACCUUGCACCGCGUCGCCGACAAGCAUUGUGGCAUCACCGGAUGGGGAACGUCCACCACCUCCAAUGCUCAGCCGCCUUCCAUGGCCCCGCCACGAGACAUUUUCUAGAUGCCAGCGGAGGAGCUAAUCUUCAGGCACUUUUCUUGUCCUCGGAAAGAAGUAGAUUCAAUCAGUAAUUUAUCUUGUCUGCUCCUGUUCACCGCAUCGUCUUUCUCUGUAUCAUAUUGUAAGGGCAUGUACAAUGAUGUUACCUUAGAAGUGCCACGUAGGAUCAAUGAUGAGGUGAAGAAGAGAGAACUCAUAAGAAAAGAUUUGUCUUCCCUUAUUUAAGAGAAGACAAGAAAUGAUCUCUUAGCACAAUAUGUUUCACCAUAUUUUUAGGAAUUGCUAGUUACUUAAGAUAAGGCUAAGAGAUGACCCAUUGUAGACUUUUUUUGUCAUCUUUAAAUUACAUGCAAAAUUUAAGAUAAAAUUAUUUUAUCAACCAUUGUACAUGACCUAAGCCUUUGUUCUUCCA